AUUCUAGUUAGCUAUCCAUAUCACUAUAAGACUAAGUGCUUCAGUUAUUAUUAAUAAGUGUUAGUAGAUGGACAGGAAUAUUCGACUAACGGAAAUUUACACACUUUUUAAGACCUACUCAGUUGUGUGUGAGAAGGCAAAAAUCUAUGUGCUUCAGGUAGUCUAGCAACUAUUUGCCACGUUUACUCAGUAAUACUACCACUUGCAAGUGAUGAACCAGGCGGGAAUCGCAAUCGUAGUAUAAAGAUUAAUGCUCAGCCGCAUAACGUACGCAAAAGAGCCAUAUAUGAGUGAGACAAUAAUAAAUAUAUACAUAAAGUAAUACUAA